GACGAACGCUGGCGGCGUGCUUAACACAUGCAAGUCGAACGGAAAGGCCCUGCUUUUGUGGGGUGCUCGAGUGGCGAACGGGUGAGUAACACGUGAGUAACCUGCCCUUGACUUUGGGAUAACUUCAGGAAACUGGGGCUAAUACCGGAUAGGAGCUCCUGCUGCAUGGUGGGGGUUGGAAAGUUUCGGCGGUUGGGGAUGGACUCGCGGCUUAUCAGCUUGUUGGUGGGGUAGUGGCUUACCAAGGCUUUGACGGGUAGCCGGCCUGAGAGGGUGACCGGCCACAUUGGGACUGAGAUACGGCCCAGACUACUACGGGAGGCAGCAGUGGGGAAUAUUGCACAAUGGGCGGAAGCAUGAUGCAGCAACGCCGCGUGCGGGAUGACGGCCUUCGGGUUGUAAACCGCUUUCGCCUGUGACGAAGCGUGAGUGACGGUAAUGGGUAAAGAAGCACCGGCUAACUACGUG
rnacentral:rRNA from 1 species